AUUCCAGCUCCAAUAGCGUAUAUUAAAGUUGUUGCAGUUAAAAAGCUCGUAGUUGGAUUUCUGGCAGGAGUGACCGGUCACGCACUCUGUGCGUGAACUUGUGUUGUCUCUGGCCAUCCUUGGGGAGAUCCUGUUUGGCAUUAAGUUGUCGGGCAGGGGAUACCCAUCGUUUACUGUGAAAAAAUUAGAGUGUUUAAAGCAGGCUUAUGCCGUUGAAUAUAUUAGCAUGGAAUAAUAAGAUAGGACUUCGGAACUAUUUUGUUGGUUUGCGUUACGAAGUAAUGAUUAAUAGGGACAGUUGGGGGUAUUCGUAUUUCGUUGUCAGAGGUGAAAUUCUUGGAUUUCCGAAAGACGAACUACUGCGAAAGCAUUUACCAAGGAUGUUUUCAUCG
rnacentral:rRNA from 1 species